rnacentral:tRNA from 1 species
GGUAUAGUUCAGUGGUAGAACAGUUGCUUAACAUGCAUGAGGCCCUGAGUUCUAACCUCAGUACC